GCGGGCGUAGCUCAGUUGGUUAGAGUGCCGGCCUGUCACGCCGGAGGUCGCGGGUUCGAGUCCCGUCGCCCGCGCCA
rnacentral:tRNA from 46 species